ensembl:lncRNA
AUGCUGAUGCAGAAACGCAUUCUCAAAUGUGUUCAGCCCCAGUACUGGUUUGCAGCGAUCGACCUGGAAGACGCGUACUUUCAUGUCUCGAUCCUCCCUCGCCACAGACCGCUCUGCGGUUUGCAUUCGAGGGUCAGGCAUGGCAGUACAAGGUCCUCCCCUUUGGGCUCUCCCUGUUCUCCCAUGUCUUCACGAAGCUCACAGAGGGCGCCCUCACUCUGGGAAGUGGGCGUCUGGAUCCUCAACUAUCUCGACGACUGGCUCAUUAUGGCCCGGUCCCGAGAGCAGUUGUGCGAUCACAGGGACUUGGUGCUCCGGCACCUCAGUCAGUCGGGGCUUCAGGUCAACCGAGAGAAGAGCAAGCUCUCCCCUGUGCAUAGAAUCUCUUAUCUCGGUAUGGAGUUAGACACAGUGAGUAUGACGGCACGGCUCACCAGCGAGCGUGCCCAGUCAGUGCUGAACUGCCUGAGUUCCUUCAGAGGCAGGACCGUGGUACCACUGAAACACUUUCAGAGGCUCCUGGGGCAUAUGGCAUCCGCAGCCGCAGUCACGCCGCUCGGGUUGCUUCAUAUGAGGCCACUUCAGCACUGGUUACACUCCCGAGUCCCGAGAUGGGCAUGGCGCCACGGUACACAUCGUGUCACCAUCACACCGAUGUGUCGCCGCCUAUUCAGCGCCUGGUCGGACCUUACCUUUCUACGGGCCGGCAUGCCCUUAGAACAAGUGUCCCGGCACGUUGUUGUCACAACAGAUGCCUCCAACUUGGGCUGGGGCGCAACAUGCAACGGGCAGGCAGCUUCAGGGUCCUGGACAGGACCUCGCCUGCUUUGGCACAUCAACUGCCUGGAGUUGCUGGCAGUGCAUCUAGCUUUGCGACGGUUUCGUCCGCUGUUGCUGGACAAGCACGUGUUGGUCCGCACGGACAACACUGCGGCUGUUUCGUACAUCAACCGACAGGGCAUCAGCCGCCAUCUCCUCCUCUGGAGUCAGACGUGGCUCACUGCGCGCUGUCCACAUCCCGGGGGAGCUCAAUCGUGCAGCCGACGCGCUGUCACGACAGCUCACUUUCCCCGGGGAAUGGCGACUCCAUCCCCAGAUGGUCCAGCUGAUCUGGAGUCGAUUCAGGGAAGCCCAGUUAGACCUGUUUGCUUCCCACGAGUCCUCCCACUGCCAGUGGUACUAUUCCCUGUCCCAGGCCCCCCUGGGCACAGAUGCACUGGCACACAGCUGGCCUCGAGCUUUACGCAAGUAUGCGUUUCCCCCAGUGAGCCUGCUCGCACAGACACUGUGCAAGGUCAGGGAGGACGAGGAACAGAUCCUGUUGGUUGCGCCUUACUGGCCCACCCAGACCUGGUUUUCGGAACUCAUGCUCCUCGUGACAGCCCCUCCCUGGCGCAUCCCCCUGAGGAGAGACCUCCUCUCUCAGGGGCUUGGCACCAUUUGGCACCCGCGUCCAGAUCUCUGGAACCUCCACGUGUGGCUUCUAGACAGGACACGGCAGACCUAAGUGAUCUGCCCCCAGCGGUGGUAGACACUAUCACUCAGGCUAGAGCCCCUUCUACGAGGCAGGCCUAUGCUCUGGCCAUCGCUCUGCUCAUCAUCUGCUUCAUCAAGAGGAACAAGGGCGGAAAAUAUCCAGGUGACUGUGUGACUCAAUUAUUAAUAGUUUUUAUUAAUAUAUUUAAUUUGUCUUUAUUUUAG